rnacentral:rRNA from 1 species
UACGUAGGGUGCAAGCGUUGUCCGGAAUUAUUGGGCGUAAAGAGCUCGUAGGCGGUCUGUCGCGUCGGCUGUGAAAUCCCGAGGCUCAACCUCGGGUCUGCAGUCGAUACGGGCAAACCAGAGUAUUGCAGGGGAGACUGGAAUUCCUGGUGUAGCGGUGAAAUGCGCAGAUAUCAGGAGGAACACCGGUGGCGAAGGCGGGUCUCUGGGCAAUAACUGACGCUGAGGAGCGAAAGCGUGGGGAGCGAACAGG